AUACCCUUAGCUCAGUUGGUUAGAGCAGACAGCUCAUAACCGUCCGGUCGUAGGUUCGAGUCCUACAGGGUACA
rnacentral:tRNA from 1 species